GAGGAAGAACGCUGCCUCAGGGAAGAGCGGAAGGGCUCCCCUGGGGAGACUGCGAGGGGCGGUCCUAGCACCUCACCUCCCAAACUCCGGUGACGCCCGCUGCCUGAGGAGACCUGUUGUUUGGAUUGUCGGAAGGAGACCAUGAGGAUUCUGGGAAAGGGACCCCCAGUGUUAGCGAGACCCGCCUGUGCGGAAUGGCUGCCCAGGAAUCCUUUCGUAUGGUUUUGGCUGGCUUAUAUGGCGUCUGCGGUCGAAUCAAUUACAUAUAGCCUAUAGGGAUAUUUCAUUUUAGUGAGUAGCGUUUAUAGAUAGAGAAUAGGGACCCGGAGGUGGUUCAGCAGAUUACGGCCCUGGUCGCCAAAUAUGAGGACCUGAGUUUAAUUUCCAAGGGCAUACAUAGCGAGAGAAUUCCCCCAAUAUGUAUUCUCUUCUGUCAGGAGAAAGGCCAAUCUUUACAGCAAGACACUGUAUCAAGUAAUAAUUUAUGGGAUUUACUUGUUGGGCUUUGAAAGUAGUUCAGUGAUAGGGCGUUUGUCUGGCAGGUGAUGGUUGGAGGCUUGGUCCUAGUAGCUGAGUAAAAGUUGGUUCUCUCCUUCAAAAGAUAGAGCCCAGGUUGCCUGGCUUGGCCCCAUUUGGGCUAUACUUAAUUAAUUGGAUCAUUCACACCUGAUAAACCAAGCCAAAACCACCUAUGUGUUUGUUCCCAAGUUCCCUUGCUUCUUAUUGAAUUGAAAAUAUCAGAAGCAGGUGCGGGGUUGAUGCAAGAGAAACGAGUAAUAUUGAUGCUACAAAGGAGUCACUAGGAAGCGAGCCUGCGAUAUGAUUGGAAGAGAAUUACCAGGCUUAUUACAAACUCUAGGAAAGACAUUUUUGUGCCAACAUUGAAGUUUUGGGUUGCUGAGAAAGUUUCUGUUAACGUUAGUGCACUAAGAUUGACCUCCAAUUAGACUCCAUUUCCACAACAAAAGGAGACAACCCUAACUUACAACCAGCCAUUAAGCCUAUCCACCUUAUU
rnacentral:lncRNA from 1 species